UACGGAGGGUGCAAGCGUUAUCCGGAUUCACUGGGUUUAAAGGGUGCGUAGGUGGGCAGGUAAGUCAGUGGUGAAAUCUCCGGGCUUAACCCGGAAACUGCCAUUGAUACUAUCUGUCUUGAAUACUGUGGAGGUGAGCGGAAUAUGUCAUGUAGCGGUGAAAUGCUUAGAUAUGACAUAGAACACCAAUUGCGAAGGCAGCUCACUACACGAAUAUUGACACUGAGGCACGAAAGCGUGGGGAUCAAACAGG
rnacentral:rRNA from 1 species